rnacentral:lncRNA from 10 species
CUCACUUUGGUCACCUGGCUGAGGUGCUGUCCCUCACCAGGUCUCUCUAUUAGUUUUCUCAUCUUUGAAGUGGGGCUUUUAUCCCCACUUGCAGGGUGGCCUUGAACACUGACUGGGACAACAGAGUGACGUACCCAGCCCAGCCAAGGACAAAAGUGUAUUCAGCAGGCACUCAGACCCGCCUCUCACUCCAGUCCUGACAGCCUUCCUGGAGACCCAGGCGGGACUUGUGGGCAUCCUUCACUGCUCUGUGGUCAGUGAGCCCCUGGCCACACUGGUGCUGUCACAUGGGGGUCAUAUCCUGGCCUCCACCUCCGGGGACAGUGAUCACAGCCCACGCUUCAGUGGUACCUCUGGUCCCAACUCCCUGCGCCUGGAGAUCCGAGACCUGGAGGAAACUGACAGUGGGGAGUACAAGUGCUCAGCCACCAACUCCCUUGGAAAUGCAACCUCCACCCUGGACUUCCAUGCCAAUGCCGCCCGUCUCCUCAUCAGCCCGGCAGCCGAGGUGGUGGAAGGACAGGCAGUGACACUGAGCUGCAGAAGCGGCCUAAGCCCCACACCUGAUGCCCGCUUCUCCUGGUACCUGAAUGGAGCCCUGCUUCACGAGGGUCCCGGCAGCAGCCUCCUGCUCCCCGCGGCCUCCAGCACUGACGCCGGCUCAUACCACUGCCGGGCCCGGGACGGCCACAGUGCCAGUGGCCCCUCUUCGCCAGCUGUUCUCACUGUGCUCUGUGAGCAGCCACCACCUGUUGCAGCCUCCUGCCGGGACCCACCAGCCACCCCACCUCCUCUAGGCCCCCCAGCCCUGUCCUGCCCUGCCCCACGGUCUAUAUCGGGAGGGCUGGGUCACAGACCUGGCCACAGUGGGUC